rnacentral:misc_RNA from 1 species
UCACACCUUACGGUGGCAGUCUCGCUAGAGUCCCCGGCUUGACCCGCUGGCAACUAACGAUAAGGGUUGCGCUCGUUAUGGGACUUAACCCGACACCUCACGGCACGAGCUGACGACAACCAUGCAGCACCUUGAAGAACGUCCGAAGAAGGCAACCUUUCGGCUGCUGUCGUUCCCCAUUUAAGCCCAGGUAAGGUUCCUCGCGUAUCAUCGAAUUAAACCACAUGUUCCUCCGCUUGUGCGGGCCCCCGUCAAUUCCUUUGAGUUUCAACCUUGCGAUCGUACUCCCCAGGUGGAUCACUUAAUGCUUUCGCUUGGCCGCAUACUGUGUAUCGCAUACAGCGAGUGAUCAUCGUUUACGGCGUGGACUAC